rnacentral:tRNA from 1 species
GGUGUAGCGUAGUCCGGUUAGCGCGCCUGCUUUGGGAGCAGGAGGUCGGGAGUUCGAAUCUCUCCACC